rnacentral:rRNA from 1 species
CCCUUAGAUGUUCUGGGCUGCACGCGCGCUACACUGAAGCGUUCAACGAGUAUUCACCUUGCCCGGGAGGGUUGGGUAAUCUUUUGAAAACGCUUCGUGAUGGGGAUAGAUUAUUGCAAUUAUUAAUCUUCAACGAGGAAUUCCUAGUAAGCGCGAGUCAUCAGCUCGUGCUGAUUACGUCCCUGCCCUUUGUACACACCGCCCGUCACUCCUACCGAUUGAGUGAUCCGGUGAAUAAUUCGGACUGCAGCACUGCUUGGUCUCCAGGCUUUGCAGCGGAAAGUUUAGUGAACCUUAUCACUUAGAGGAAGGAGAAGUCGUAACA